ensembl:lncRNA
CAGGCAGCAUUUUUGGGGGUCAUGGGAUUGUUGUAUUCAUGUUGUCUAAAUAUUAUGUCUAUUUCAUGUUGGUCAUGCAUGGAGUAUAUAAUCCAAGGCUCUGCUUUUAAUUGGUGAUUAAGAGAGAUGGGUUUGUUGAAACCAAAUUCUCAGAUGACAGAAGAUGAUGGACAUCUGUUGAUCUAGAAGUUUAUUCAAAACAAUAAGGAUGCUUUCAUCACCAGACGUUGCACUUCAGGCCAAGUUAUGUGUGAAAAAAUUUGCUCACUUGACUCAAUUCUUCUAAGCCUUAAAAUGUGUCACUGUGGUGCAGAGUCACCGUCAGAAGGAUUCCAGUUUCCGGCUUCCUGAGUAUUGUUGGAGUUGAAUUGCUUCCAGUUAAGUUACACACUAAACAUCUCCUAAAAUCUCUUUAUAGAAACAUAUCUCACACCCAGGUUCUCUUAAAAAAAGGCAGGACAAUUCCAGAGGCACAAUCUCCUGGCUCUGUUUGCUUGCUUCUUUUGCAUUUUUAACCCUGCUGUUACCUGUAUGUUCCGAAAGCCCCAAUACCUUCCAUUUAGCUCUAUUCAGAGUAUGAUUC